AGGAUUAACGCUGGCGGCGUGCCUGACACAUGCAAGUCGAACGAGGCCGCAAGGCCGAGUGGCGGACGGGUGAGUAACACGUGACCAACCAACCUCGAAGUUGGGAAUAGCUCUGCGAAAGUAGGGGUAAUACCGAAUGUGGCCCAGGGCGGGCAUCCGCCUUGGUCUAAAGAUUCAUCGCUUCGAGACGGGGUCGCGGCCUAUUAGCUUGUUGGUGAGGUAACGGCUCACCAAGGCGAUGAUGGGUAGCUGGUCUGAGAGGACGACCAGCCACACUGGGACUGAGACACGGCCCCAGACUCCUACGGGAGGCAGCAGUGAGGAAUCUUCCGCAAUGGGCGAAAGCCUGACGGAGCAACGCCGCGUGUGGGAUGAAGACUCUAGGGUUGUAAACCACUGUCGGAGGGGACGAUCGUGACGGUACCCUCCAAGAAAGCCCGGCUAACUACGUGCCAGCAGCCGC
rnacentral:rRNA from 1 species